rnacentral:rRNA from 1 species
UAGGGAAUCUUCCGCAAUGGACGCAAGUCUGACGGAGCAACGCCGCGUGAGUGAAGAAGGAUUUCGGUUCGUAAAACUCUGUUGUUAGAGAAGAACAGCGCAUAGAGUAACUGUUAUGCGUGUGACGGUAUCUAACCAGAAAGCCACGGCUAACUACGUGCCAGCAGCCGCGGUAAUACGUAGGUGGCAAGCGUUGUCCGGAUUUAUUGGGCGUAAAGCGAGCGCAGGCGGUCAAUUAAGUCUGAUGUGAAAGCCCCCGGCUCAACCGGGGAGGGUCAUUGGAAACUGGUUGACUUGAGUGCAGAAGAGGAGAGUGGAAUUCCAUGUGUAGCGGUGAAAUGCGUAGAUAUGUGGAGGAACACCAGUGGCGAAGGCGACUCUCUGGUCUGUAACUGACGCUGAGGCUCGAAAGCGUGGGGAGCGAACAGG